GGCAGGAACGCGCCGAUGGGUGCUCCUGCGUCACGGGGAAAGUCCGGUGGAAGGCCGGCGCUGCCGCGCAACGGUUCCAGCCCGAAUGCCCGCUCGGAGAGCGAUCACGUCC
rnacentral:ncRNA from 18 species